UAAAUUGUUUUCAUUUAAAAACAACAAAAAUAAUAAAAAAUAAGCACCACUUGUGAAUUUUCUUUUUUUUUUUCUUGAUAAAUUACAUUUUACACUCAAAUAAUAGAGAUUUAAUCACCAAACCUGUAAUUUAAAAUGUAUCAUUUUAGUACUAUAUAGUUUCAUUUUUUUUCUUUUCGUUAUUCUCUUUGUUAAUAUUUUCGUUAAAUUAGUGAUAAAAUUAAUACUAUAGGAUAUUAAAGUAAAAAUUCGGUAAACCGCACGAUAUAUUAAAGUGAAUAUUUGAUAAAGUAUGGAUGGAGUAUCCGAAAUUUUUUAUGUAUGAUUUAGCGAAUGAAUGGGUUGACAGAAAAAGAAAAAUAAAAUUAUUGUGUACUAAAAUGAGAAAGUGCAAAAUUAUAGAAAUAAUAUAUGAAGUUUAUCCAAAAAAAAAUCAGAAGGCACUAAAGUGAAGCAAAAGUAGCAAAGAUUUAACGAACGAAAGUGCUGACAGAAAUAAAAUAAAAUAAAAUUAUAAGGUACUGAAAUAAGAAAGUGCAAAAUCAUAUGAAUGAUAUUUGAAGUUUAUCUCUUUUACACAUAAAAGAAUCAUAGGAUUAAUUGGUAACUAAUAAUAAAGUUUAGGGGAAGCGCUUCUUUAAUUUAGAAUCAGUAGCUAUCAAAUGGACGGCGAGGAUGAUCGAGUCGGUAACACGCUUUUGCUUUGCUUGUGGAAAUUGCUAAGGAAUCCAUUACUUUAUUAUCUCUUUGACUCACAUCAUUGAAUUAACGUACUUAGUUUGAAAACAAAUAAGGAAUGGGUCUUCAUAAAUUAGGGGGAUUUUGACACGUUACUGGCAAGAAAUUUGUUGGCAAUCCAGCUCGCGAGCUCAUGUUUCGCUUGAUAUAAGCUCGAGAUUGAUUGUCGGUUUAAUAAACGGGCGAUACAGUGAAUGUGUGAAACAACCAUUGUACUUUAGGGUGCGUUUGGUUCGCAUUAUGAAAGAUUACUAGGAAUAAAAGAUAUCCGAGAAUCUUAUUCCUAUUCAUCCUAUUACUAAGAAUGCGGAAUUCCUAUGUUUGGUUCGCGCGGUAAUAUUAAUUAGCCAUAUUAUUUAAUAUUACAAAAAAUAUACAAUUAAUUAAUUAAUUUAUUUAAUUAAUUUUAGAUAAUGUUACCAAAAGUUUCAACAUCUUUUUAGAAAAAAAAGAGAGAGAGUAUAAGUUAGAGAGAGAGAGCAUAAUUAAAAAAAU
rnacentral:lncRNA from 1 species